rnacentral:rRNA from 1 species
AUACGUAGGUGACAAGCGUUAUCCGGAUUUACUGGGCGUAAAGGGCGUGUAGGCGGUCUUGCAAGUCAGAAGUGAAAUUCCUGAGCUCAACUCGGGCGCUGCUUCUGAAACUGCAGGACUUGAGUGCUGGAGGGGAUAGCGGAAUUCCUAGUGGAGCGGUAAAAUGCGCAGAUAUUAGGAAGAACACCGGUGGCGAAGGCGGCUAUCUGGCCAGUAACUGACGCUGAGGCGCGAAAGCGUGGGGAGCAAACAGGAUUAGAUACCCGGGUAGUCCACGCCGUAAACGAUGAAUACUAGGUGUAGGGGGUAUCGACUCCCUCUGUGCCGCAGUUAACACAAUAAGUAUUCCGCCUGGGGAGUACGGCCGCUAGGUUGAAACUCAAAGGAAUUGACGGG